ACUGCGAGUGAAGCGGGUAAAAGCUCAAAUUUAAAAUCUGGAGGUCUUUAGCCGUCCGAGUUGUAGUCUGGAGAAGUGCUUUCCGCGCUGGACCGUGUANCAAGUCUCUUGGANACAGAGCGUCAUAGAGGGUGAGAAUCCCGUCUUUGACACGGACUACCAGUGCUUUGUGAUGCGCUCUCAAAGAGUCGAGUUGUUUGGGAAUGCAGCUCAAAAUGGGUGGUAAAUUCCAUCUAAAGCUAAAUAUUGGCGAGAGACCGAUAGCGAACAAGUACCGUGAGGGAAAGAUGAAAAGCACUUUGGAAAGAGAGUUAAACAGUACGUGAAAUUGCUGAAAGGGAAACGCUUGAAGUCAGUCGCGUUGGCCAGGACUCAGCCUUGCUUUCGCUUGGUGCAUUUUCUGGUUGACGGGCCAGCAUCGAUUUUGAUCACUGGAAAAUGGUUAGGGGAAUGUGGCACCUUCGGGUGUGUUAUAGCCCUUGGUCGCAUACAGUGGUUGGGAUCGAGGACCGCAGCACGCCUUUAUGGCCGGGGUUCGCCCACGUUCGUGCUNUAGGAUGCUGGCGUAAUGGCUUUAAACGACCCGUCUUGAAACACGGACCAAGGAGUCUAACAUGCCUGCGAGUGNUUNGGGUGGAAAACCCGAGCGCGUAAUGAAAGUGAAAGUUGAGAUCCCUGUCGUGGGGAGCAUCGACGCCCGGACCUGAACUUCGGUGAUGGAUCUGCGGUAGAGCAUGUAUGUUGGGACCCGAAAGAUGGUGAACUAUGCCUGAAUAGGGUGAAGCCAGAGGAAACUCUGCUGGAACUCGUAGCGAUUCUGACGUGCAAAUCGAUCGUCAAAUUUGGGUAUAGGGGCGAAAG
rnacentral:rRNA from 1 species